AAAUUCAAAGAUGAAAAAGCCUAGAAGGAGGAGAGAAGAUGGCCGUUAUAUGUGUGGAUUAUUGUCGGAGUAGAGGACCUUAUGCAUUUCAGGUAAAAUAAGAACUCAAUGUUUAUAUUCCAGGACAAAUUAGCUAGCAACAGCAAGCUAGCUAAAUAGGACAAAUUAGCUAGCAAGUGCAAGCUAACUAGCCAAAUUGCCAUACAUGUUUAAUGCUUUUCGACCUGUCCCUAAAUUAAUGUCAUUAGUUCAGUUUGUUUUGAUAUUUUAACCUGCGUGUCGUGGUCGCGUUUGGUGUAGGGCAGUGGUCACCAAACUACGGCCCGCGGGCCGGAUACGGCCCGUCAGCACAUUUGGCCCGGCCCUCUGAACAAUACCAGAGACGCUAUCGAAUUUUUUUCCUAUUUGGCCUCCAGAAAAAAAAUCCUAGGCCCGGCCCUGUCAAAGAGAGAACGGAAUAAUGGCGAAAAGGUUAGGUAAGAGAAAAAUUGAUUCAGAAUGCAGGGUAUUUAACCUGCAGUGGACAAACGAUUAUUUUUUGUUCAAUGCAAAGAAAAGGCUGUUUGUCUCAUCUGUCAAGAGACGGUGGCGGUAUUCAAAGAAUACAAUCUUCGCCGACACUAUGAAUCCCGUCACAAAGACAAGUACGAUAGCUUGCAAGGCCAAAUACGAGCAGACAAACUCUCAAAGCUAAAAAGUGGACUACUAUCUCAGCAGAAUACAUUUGUACGCCAAGCUCAGCUGAACCAGGCAUCCGUUCGGGCCAGCUUUCGGGUUGCUAAACUGAUAGCAAGAAGCGGUAAGCCUUUCACUGACGGAGAGUUUGUUAAGAAACUUAUGGAUGCUGUCGCGGAGGAGGUGUGUCCCGAGAAGAAAGAUGCAUUUAAUGCCGUAAGUCUGUCGGCGAGUACAAUCACCAGACGCGUUGAAGAAAUCAAAACAAAACGGUCCCAGAGCUGAUCGACCCAGAAUGGAAAUGGCACCUCGCAUUUUUAACAGACGUGACAGAAAUACUUAACAGCCUUAACUUGCAGCUACAAGGCGAGGGGAAACUCAUUUGCGACAUGUAUUCACACAUAAAAGCAUUUGAGGUGAAAUUAGCGCUGCUUUUGGAACAAGUGAAAAAGCGCAACUUCGUCCAUCUUCCUGCUACCCAAAACCUGUCGACAGAGAACCCAGCGGUCCCGUUCCCAGCUGAAAAGUGCGUGGAAGCACUGGAAAUGCUGAAGGCGGAGUUCGGUGUGCGAUUCAGUGAACUACAUGUUCAUGCAAAAUAAAUCCGUCUUUUUCAGAACCCCUUUGUUGCCGACAUUGACGAAGCCCAGCCUUCAUAUCAGUUUGAGUUGGCUGAGUUACAGAACUGUGAUGUUCUGAAAGACGCAUUCAAGCCCAACAGUCUCAUUGACUUCUAUGCCGCCCUCCCAAACGACACAUAUCCAAACAUCAAAAAACACGCAAUGAAAAUGUCCACAGUUUUUGGCAGCACGUAUAUCUGCGAGAAAACCUUUUCUCGCAUGAAACUGCUGAAAACCCCGAUGAGAUCAAGAUUGACAGAUGAACAUUUGCAUCAGUGCUUGAGACUGGCUGUAACUAGAAUGGAACCUGAUAUUCAACUUCUCACCAGCCAGAUGCAGGCCCACAGUUCACACUGAUGAACAUACAUAGAUAGGGAAGUUGAUGAGAGAGAGCUGCAAACAGCGGUGUCUACAAGCCUACUGGAACCUACAAAAGGAUUAUAAGGAAGGAACACAAGAACUUUAAGAGACUGCUCAUAUGUGUCAGAGAGAUUCUGCUCUGACAACUGAGCUGAACUUUUAUCUGUUAAGAUUGUGCAUGGCACGACAGAAAGUUAAUGUUCCAUGGCUUUUUUUUUCUAUGAAGAACCCAGAGAGUUAUUUAGUUAUUAUUUAUUUCCUGUUUUUUCUGUGAAGAACUCAGAGAGGGUUAUUUAGUUAUUAUUUAUUUCAUUAAUAGUGUUAUUAUUUGUUUCCUGACUUUUUUUCUGUAAAGAACCUGGAAAGGGUUAUUUGGUUAUGUGUGGCUUUCUGGAAAACAAUAAAUGUUUUAAGCUCCC